UACGUAGGGUGCGAGCGUUAAUCGGAAUUACUGGGCGUAAAGCGUGCGCAGGCGGUUCGCUGUGUCCGAUGUGAAAGCCCCGGGCUUAACCUGGGAAUGGCAUUGGAAACUGGCGGGCUUGAGUGCGGCAGAGGGAUGCGGAAUUCCAGGUGUAGCGGUGAAAUGCGUAGAUAUCUGGAGGAAUACCGGUGGCGAAGGCGGGUCUCUGGACAGUUCCUGACACUGAGGCACGAAGGCCAGGGGAGCAAACGGGG
rnacentral:rRNA from 1 species